rnacentral:rRNA from 1 species
GUUUGAUCAUGGCUCAGAUUGAACGCUGGCGGUAUGCUUAACACAUGCAAGUCGAACGGUAGCAGGCCUUCGGGCGCUGACGAGUGGCGGACGGGUGAGUAACGCGUAGGAAUCUGCCUGGUAGUGGGGGACAACGUGGGGAAACUCACGCUAAUACCGCAUACGCCCUACGGGGGAAAGCGGGGGCUCUUCGGACCUCGCGCUAUCAGAUGAGCCUGCGUUAGAUUAGCUAGUUGGUAGGGUAAAGGCCUACCAAGGCGACGAUCUAUAGCUGGUCUGAGAGGACGAUCAGCCACACUGGGACUGAGACACGGCCCAGACUCCUACGGGAGGCAGCAGUGGGGAAUAUUGGACAAUGGGCGCAAGCCUGAUCCAGCAAUACCGCGUGUGUGAAGAAGGCCUUAGGGUGUAAAGCACUUCAAUUGGGAGGAAAACCUAGCCGGUCAAUACCGGCAGCUGAC